CCUACGGGUGGCAGCAGUGAGGAAUAUUGGUCAAUGGACGAGAGUCUGAACCAGCCAAGUAGCGUGAAGGAUGACUGCCCUAUGGGUUGUAAACUUCUUUUAUCUGGGAAUAAAAUGUUCCACGUGUGGGCUUUUGUAUGUACCAUAUGAAUAAGGAUCGGCUAACUCCGUGCCAGCAGCCGCGGUAAUACGGAGGAUCCGAGCGUUAUCCGGAUUUAUUGGGUUUAAAGGGUGCGUAGGUGGAUUGUUAAGUCAGUUGUGAAAGUCUGCGGCUCAACCGUAGAAUUGCAGUUGAAACUGGCAGUCUUGAGUACAGUAGAGGUAGGCGGAAUGCGUGGUGUAGCGGUGAAAUGCUUAGAUAUCGCGAAGAACUCCGAUUGCGAAGGCAGCUCACUGGAUUGCAACUGACACUGAGGCUCGAAAGUGUGGGUAUCAAACAGGAUUAGAUACCCGAGUAGUC
rnacentral:rRNA from 1 species